GGAUUUUCAGUCUGGUUGACAGAUCAACUCUGCGGGGCUUCGGCAAGCCAGCUAAAUAUGGUGAAGUUGCCUUUCUGACACCGACAGGAAGAGGUGGGCACCGUGUCACCAGACGUCAGAAGAACCAACUCCGCCUUCACCCAAAGAUGGUAGCGGGCACGGAAGGCCACAAGACGAGCAUAGUAGGCUGGCGCAGGGAUGGAGACUGAGCGGGUACAGCGCACAUAAGUGUGGCACAACUGGUAAGUUAGAAUCUGCAACUCAUCAGCUGUGAAACGAUUGUCGUCCCAUAAGACGUAGUAAUGAGACGGCCGGCUGGUACCCUGGACACAAAGAGAAGGCAAUAACAAUGAGAGAAGAAAGAUAUAUAUGCAGAAAACGGGUAUGUAAAAAGCAAUCAGUCUUAUUAUAAUCUACAACUUAAAUUACACUGCAAAAAGACAUUCUGUUUCUAUCAUUACCUGUAUGCCUGCAUGGCUACACAGGUAGAAGUCAAACUCAAAGGGGUGAGUGAUGCUGGUGUCCACUGUUGUCCCUGCAGGAAUAUUCCCACUCUUCCCAAUCUAUCAAAAGGAAACACAAGAUGGCAUUUAUUACAUAUGAAAAUACAAGUGAAAAUAAUCAUGCAAGUAUGAUUUUUUUUUUUUUUUUUUUUUUAAAGUUUAAGAAAAUAGAAAGCUUACCCUUUCAGACUUGUCAGCACAGAAGAGGCGUGUGUGGUGGCGUUUCUGCACCACAAUAUAGGUGAUGCCUGGCUGAUAGUCUUUCUCCAACUUGAUACAUGCAUCUCUGAUGGCCAGGAGCUCGUAGUGGAGAAUCUAGACAAAAGAACAUUGAUGGUUGAUGCACUAAAAAAUGAACUAUAUCAGCUCGAGCGCUAAUAAACAAAGAACUCUCAUCAGUUUCAACUACCAUGACGCCCGAUUACCUGCGGCAACUGUCCCUCAGGAACUCCGUCUCUGUAGAAAAUGAUCCUGGUGGGCUUGAACCGGGUCGAUUUGUAGAACUGAAUGAGCAGUUCCCGCACCAUGUAAGACAAAUCUUCAAUGAUCUCCUGCCUGGGUCUCUGGACACGCACUGUGGCACAGUAUCUGCUGGGAUGAGCAUCCAUACUGCCUACCACCUGGAAGACAGGGGAGGAAGGGAGUAACAGUUGAACGGAGCACUGUCAAAAAGUGUGCUAUUAGUUUUCUCCUCAGACAGGAGGAUCAAGACAGACCCACUCUCCUCUCCCAUCCUCUCUGUGCGUGACUCAAGCGUUUGUCAUAAUUGCUAGGCAACAACACAGCCAACCACAGUCGAGCUGAGGUCAAGGGCGGACGACUGGCGAACGAGGGUUGACGUCAUUUCCUUUUUGAACGUGAGUCAGUGAUGAGCCAUUUGUUUUCCUUCAUCCCUCACUCCUCUCUUAGUACUUUUUUUUUUCUUUGUUCAGACCCAUUUAUUGUGUAUCCAAGUUUAAACGAAAAGUCAGAUUGACUGCAGAUGUUUCUCAUAAAAUGGACUUUUAAAUCAGGGAGUGUCUGGGCAUUUACUACUGAUUUUAUUAAGUCGUGUUGGUGAAAUGUUCUGAUCAGCCAAAAUUCUUCAACAGCUCUUCAAGCUAAGCUGUUGGGUAAGAGUGAGAGUACACAAUAUAAUAUAUAUAAAUAAACAGCUACAACUAAUGAUUUUAAUGAAAAUGCCUAAAUAACUUUACAGAUGCCUACCACAGGGUGAGGAAUUCAUCUCAUCUACCCAAAGAACAUAAUAGUACUUCCCCAUUUUUACUGUGCACUCAUGUUACCAUAACAGUCAAACUAACUCACAUAUGAGCUGAAUGUAAUGACAUUUGCUGUCGUGUUUUAAUUAACUUCAUCUGUGUUAGAUAUUAAAAAAAAAAGGUGGGGAAGUGCUUCAGCCUCAAACAAACUAUUUAUGCCUGAAGGAUUCUUCUCUUAGCAGCGUUGCUGAGCGCCAUGACCUAUUACUUGAUGCCACUGUCACUAAGCAACCACAACCAUGUGCAUUUGCUUUUCUAUGACAUCUUGAGGUCAUUUGCAUUAUUUACAUGUCCUUGUCGUUUUUCUGAUUUGCCUAUUAAAAAAAAGGAGUGCUCUUGCCAACUUAGCAUCUGGACGGCCAUCAGAGACACUACGCUGUGGCAAUAAGUGUGUAAUUUUCAUAUUAUCUAUGUACUUAUAAAAAGAAAAUGAAAAAGUUUUUAUGGCUUUGAAAAAGUAAUUAAAAAAACCAAGGUUGAAAUGUCUGUGUUGGCAACCACCCACCAUUCUUAAAAGGCAACUAGUCCCCCCCGAUCCACCAUCUGUGUAUUAGAGCUGAUACAGAGCUACUGUAUUUGGUGCUGCUGUGUCCAACACACCCAGCAGCAGUGGACAAAACGUGGUACUGGUAGCUAAGUGCCUUAAAGGGCCAGUGUGUAACAUUUAGGAGGAUUUAUUGACAGAAAUGGAUAUAAUAUAAUAUUCCAUAUAAUAUUUAGCCUUUUUCUGAGCUGUAUUCAAAUGGUUGCAAUCUACAACUUCACCACUAAAUGACACUAAAUCCAACACACUGGUCCUUUAAGCCAGUGGUUCUCAAACUGGGGGUCAGAACACCAACUCGAUUAUUCUGGGGGGUUGAGACUCUAAAAGGUUGAGAACCACUGCUUCAAGCUGCUGUUCUUCUUAUUAUCAACACUAAUAUAAAUGCUGACUUAAUGACUGUACUAAA